GUGGGGUGAUGGCCUACCAAGGCGUCGACGGGUAGCUGGUCUGAGAGGACGAUCAGCCACACUGGGACUGAGACACGGCCCAGACUCCUACGGGAGGCAGCAGUGGGGAAUCUUGCGCAAUGGGCGGAAGCCUGACGCAGCAACGCCGCGUGAGGGAUGAAUGCCUUCGGGUUGUAAACCUCUUUCGAGCAGGGACGAUUGUGACGGUACCUGCAGAAGAAGCUCCGGCCAACUACGUGCCAGCAGCCGCGGUAAUACGUAGGGAGCGAGCGUUGUCCGGAUUUAUUGGGCGUAAAGAGCUCGUAGGCGGUUUGGUAAGUCGGAUGUGAAACCUCCACGCUCAACGUGGAGACGCCAUCCGAUACUGCUAUGACUUGAGUCCGGUAGGGGCCCACGGAAUUCCUGGUGUAGCGGUGAAAUGCGCAGAUAUCAGGAGGAACACCGGUGGCGAAGGCGGUGGGCUGGGCCGGUACUCACGCUGAGGAGCGAAAGCGUGGGGAGCGAACAGGAUUAGAUACCCUGGUAGUCCACGCCGUAAACGUUGGGCACUAGGUGUGGGAUCUUUCAACGGGUUCCGUGCCGUAGCUAACGCAUUAAGUG
rnacentral:rRNA from 1 species